GUGCGCACUUCAGUAGCACAUGUACUAAAAUUAAAAUGAUACAUAAAUGGUUAACAUGACCUCUGCUCAAGGAUGCAAUGCCUCUACAAAUAGGACAUUGUAUCCAUUUUA